CACUCGGCUGGAGGGUCAUUACCGCAGCGGUCGAGGAAGUACCCCCUACUGCGGGAAAGACAUGGAAGCAGGGGUAAGCGUGGCGAAGCUAGCGCGCGAAUGUCGAACGGCUGGCGGGU
rnacentral:sRNA from 12 species